GCGUGGGGUCGUCUCGGAGAUGCUAUAUGUCGUUUCCGGCCUCAUUUAAUAUGCCUAGAUAGGUAGGUUAUUUGUGCCUCACCCCCUUGUCAGGUUAACAACAUUUAUUAUUGCCAUGUACCUAAACGAGAGUGAACUAAAUAUUAAAUGUGGAGUACCGUCAAUAUGCAACUCGUUGCAUACUCAGCCUGACUUAAUGUGUAGCGUUUGACUGUGUAAAUUGUCAUGCCAUGCCGUGCCUUGCAUAUUUGAACUGCUCAUGCAUCAUAUUAGGGUGAGUAUCAUAUCAUGAUGUGCCAUGGUGAAUAUCGUGGGGUAAUGCUUGUUUCCGGUUUGCUUCGUCUCGAUAGAGUUCCGCAAACGUGACGGAAUAUGAGGACCCGUUCGACUACGUCGGUUAGUCUGCUUCACGGAGUCGUUCUUCUUUCAAGCAGGAUUACAAGGAAGAUGACCAUUUCCCUAGAUUCCAUUACUAUCAUUGUCAUGCUAGUUGUCUCGUUUCUUUUGUUAUGUCUUGUUGCCGACCACCUGUUAUAUGUCAGCCUCUCAACAUUGUCAUGAAACCUUCAACUUGUUCACAACCUAGCAAACCACUGAUUGUCUAUGUUACCGCUUGCUUAACCAGGUGAUAGCGUUGGAAG
rnacentral:lncRNA from 1 species